UAGGGAAUCUUCCACAAUGGACGCAAGUCUGAUGGAGCAACGCCGCGUGAGUGAAGAAGGCUUUCGGGUCGUAAAACUCUGUUGUUGGAGAAGAAUGGUCGGCAGAGUAACUGUUGUCGGCGUGACGGUAUCCAACCAGAAAGCCACGGCUAACUACGUGCCAGCAGCCGCGGUAAUACGUAGGUGGCAAGCGUUAUCCGGAUUUAUUGGGCGUAAAGCGAGCGCAGGCGGUUUUUUAAGUCUGAUGUGAAAGCCCUCGGCUUAACCGAGGAAGCGCAUCGGAAACUGGGAAACUUGAGUGCAGAAGAGGACAGUGGAACUCCAUGUGUAGCGGUGAAAUGCGUAGAUAUAUGGAAGAACACCAGUGGCGAAGGCGGCUGUCUGGUCUGUAACUGACGCUGAGGCUCGAAAGCAUGGGUAGCGAACAGGAUUAGAUACCCGGGUAGUCCAUGCCGUAAACGAUGAAUGCUAGGUGUUGGAGGG
rnacentral:rRNA from 1 species